rnacentral:tRNA from 1 species
GCGGCAAUAGCUCAGUGGUAGAGCCCCAGCUUCGCGUGAGCGGAGACCCGGGUGCGAUUCCCGGCUGCUUCC